GGGAGAAAGAGAAGGAGGAGGAGGAGGAGGAGACAAUGGUGGAAAGGAAGAAGGAAAAGGAAGAGGAAGGAAGAGGAGAACAAAGGAUUAGGAAAUGGAAGAAAGGAAAAGAGAACACUAGGAGGGGAGGGAAGAGGAGGAGGAGAAAAAAGAUGAAAGACGAGGAAGAUGAAAGAAAGAAUGUGGAGGAAGAGGAAGAGGUAAAAGGAGAGAGGGGUCAUGGCAAGGGAGAAGGAGGGAAAGAAUUAGGAGGAAAAGAAAUGAGGUAGAAGGAGGAAACGAGAGAAGAGCAAGAGGAGAUGACACAAGAGGGUAUGGAGGAAAGGGAAGGGAUGGAAGAGACAGACAUGGAGGAGGCAGACAGGUGAAAGGAGGAGUAGGACUAGGAGGAAGAAUAGAAGAUGGAAGGAAACUAGAAUAGGAAGAGGAGAGGAUGGAAGAAGAGAAAGGAAGAAUUAGGAGGAUAUAAUAGAGGAUAGAGAGGAAGAGACGAAGAGGAAGAGGGUUAGAAACAGAAGGAAGAGGGGAAUAUGGAGGAGGAAAGGAGAAGGAAGAAAACAGGAAGAAGAGGGGAAGUAGAGAAAUGAGACAUGGAGAUGGAGGAAGAGAAGGAAAUGAAGGGUAAGGAGAUGAAGGGGAAGUGUGAGGAGGAGGAGGAGGAGAUGGAGGGGAAACAAGGAGGAAGAAAUGAUGGUGAGGAGAAGGAGAAGAUGGAAGAGGGUUGGAGAUUGGAAAGCAGAGGGUUAAGGGAAGAGGGCGGUGGAGAGUAAGAAGAGAGAAGAGGGGCAGGUGAAGACGAGGGCGGGAAGGAGAAGGAAGGAAAGAAAGGAAAGGAGGAGACGAGGAGGAGGAGGGGCUGUGGGAAGAGGAGAAGGAGAGAGAUGGAGGAGGAUAAAGGGAGGAGAGGAGAAAGGAGACAGAGGAGAUGAGAAGGAAGACCAGGAGGAGCUGGAGUGGAGAAGGAAGAAGAGAUGGGCAGGAGGAAGACAUCGAUGGAAGAAGAGGAUAUGGACAAUCGGGGACGGAGAGAAGUAGAGGGAAAUGGAGAAGAAAGGGGAGGUAGAGGAGAUAAAAGGGAAGGAAGGAGAGGCAAAUAGAGAAGAGGAAGAGGCAGAGAAAGGAGGAGGAGGUGAAGGAGAUGGAGGAGUCGCAGGACGAGGAGGCUGACAGUGAGGACGAGGAGGAGAGAGAGGAGAGGGAGGUGAGGAGGAGGAGGAGGAGGGAUGCAGAGCAUCAGCAGACCGAGAGGAGCCGGGGCGCUGGUGGCGCACGCCUUUAAUCCCAGCCCUCGGGAGGCAGAGGCAGGCGGAUCUCUGUGAGUUCGAGGCCAGCCUGGUCUCCAGAGCGAGUGCCAGGAGGAGGAGGAAGACAAAAGGGAAAGAAAGAGGGAGCAGGUGGAGCAUCAGGGGGAAGAAGAAAGGAAGGGACACGAGAAAAUGGGAGACGGGAAGGGGAAAAGAGAUAAAUGAGGAGAUGGAGGAAAACGGGAAGAGAUGAGGAGAAGCUGCAAGAAGAAAAGAUGGAGGAGGAAAAGGAGAAGCAGAAGAACAUGGAGAGAGACAGAGGGGGCAGGAGAAGAGGAGGAAGAAGAGGACAAAGGGGCAGAGGAGGAGGAAACAGAGGAGGAGAAAAGGCAGCAGAGGAGAUGGAGGAGGAAGGGAAAUGGAAGGAAAGGAGGUUGAGGUACAGGAGGGGAAGGAAAUGGAGAGGAAGAGGAGGAAGAGCCAGAGAAGGGGAGAAAGAGAGGAAGUUGGAGGAGGAAAAGGAGGAGAAGGAAGAGGAGAGGAGGAAACAGAUGGUUGGCCUGGGAGGAGGCUGCGGUGGCUGAAUUGGGUGAUGACAGGAGUACCCAAGUAUCAGGUACUGCAUUGUAUGUGAGGAGCUUUGUGUGGCCAUAUCAUGGGAAAAGGUCAAAGGAAGAUGGCAUGUGACAGAGAGUGAUAGAGACAGAGUGAGACUCCCAUUAGGUGGGGCAAAGAAGAUAAUAGGGGACCCAGGCCAGCGGCAGGGGCACACCUUCUUUCCAUCAACCCUAGUUUCCUCAUUUGUUCCUGCCUUAGCACCCAAACCAUGCUGGCCCAUUCUUAACCCUAGUUGUACUCCCAAAGGGCUCCCCACCCCUCUGCCUGGAAGAGCUGCAGCUUCUCUGCAGAGGGGACAGAGCCAAAAGAGGCAUAGGUGUGGAUUACUUGGCACACAUUCAGUGCUCAGUUAAUGCCACCUCCCUUUCCUGGGGUGCGGGGGGGGGUGCAGUAGGAAGCAAAGGACAGGAGGGAGGAAGGCAGUGUUUAUAAAAAGCUUAGCAUACUGAUGGUGCCCAAUAAAUGCCCACAGUCCCCAGGCAGAGAGAAGCAGAGGUUGGCAGAAACCAUUGUCAGUGGAGAUGGAGAACAAGAGAGACCGCAUACUAACAGCACUCAAUAAAUGUACUCUUUGUCUUGGAAGACAGUAAACAGUGAGAGGAGAGGAGAGGGGGCAGGGGAGGGGAGGGUGGAGAGAGAUAGGAUCGUGAGUGAAGUGAGUUCAUUCCUUCUCCCAGGAGGGCGGGGAGGGAGGAGACCAGAAACAGACAAUGGGUGGGAGCGCAGGAGGGAGGGGAGCCGGGUCUGGGACUUGAUACACAACAGGUGCUCACAAGAUUACUAGUGGGGAGGGCCAGGCCGACUGGACUGGAUGGGAGAAAGGGCAUAGUGGAGAGGACAGCGCAGCUGAACAGAAAGUGGGAAGGUAGAGGGUAGAAAGGGUAGACAAACACCGGGGUGACCAGAAGGGCUCUGGGGCUCAGGCAGACAGGAGACAGGAGGCAGCAGAUGCCCCAGGCCUGGCCCUCAGGGUCACUCCCCUACCUAGGGUGGAGCAGAAAGCCACUGGCUUCUCUGAAGGAGCUGGAGGCAGGAGCCCCCAGCUGUCAGGACAGGAGACAAGGGCGCAUUGUCCUGGUGCUGGCACAGCCUGGUCCGAGGGGGAGGAGAGCCCGAUCUGCCGGGUGUGGGGUGCUGCCUGACCUCUGAAUCCCAUGAGCCACUGUCCCUCAUCUGGGCUGACCUUACUCCCUGCCUCUCUGGUCUUGAGUCCCUGCUCUCCACCCCUCCUUCCUAUUGUGUGGGGCAGAAGGGAAUGACCCUGCUGCCAAUACUGAGCUCCUCACCCAGGAUCUGGGCUGGGCGUGGGUGGGGGCAGAGGGGGGAGGAAAGACGGAGGCAGAGAAGGGGGAGCCAGGACAGAACCAGCUUUAUUCAGGAAAGAACACAGGGCUCCGGCCAGCAGAGGGAAAGAGGGAAGAAGAGAGGCCUGAAAAUAGGAGAUGGGAAGCAAGGGGUUGAAACAGCCAGGCAGAGAUAGAGAGGGAGAAUCAGAGAGAGGCAGAGAGAUGGAGAGAGACAGAGAAAGGCAAAGACAAGAGAGAGACAAAGACAGAUAUGGAAAGAAAUAAGGAGAAAAGGAAAAUCAGGACACAUAGAACAUCAGAGAUAGAGGAAGCACUGGGCUGAGAGACACAGUUGAAGGGAGGUAGAAAAUCAGAGAGACAGAUGGAGAGACACAGGCAGAGAGAAAGAGGGGGCAGGGAAAAUUAGAUACAGAGAUUGAAGCAGAGAGAGGGGAACAGAAACAGAGACCGAGAGAUGAAGUAUGUGUGUGUGGGGUGGGGGCAGAGAUGAAGACACAGGCCGAGAGAGGCACAGGAGAGGAUGGAGGCUGUGGGAGGCAGAAGGAGCCCAGUCAGGAGAGGCAAGCGGACAGGUGGAGAGACACCGGGCGCCUUGUGGGCCACCACGGCAGCAGGACCCUCUCACCUGGCCUCAGUGUCUG
ensembl:lncRNA